CGGACGGGUGAGCAACGCGUGGGUAACCUACCCUGUACACACGGAUAACAUACCGAAAGGUAUGCUAAUACGGGAUAAUAUAUUUGAGAGGCAUCUCUUGAAUAUCAAAGGUGAGCCAGUACAGGAUGGACCCGCGUCUGAUUAGCUAGUUGGUAAGGUAACGGCUUACCAAGGCGACGAUCAGUAGCCGACCUGAGAGGGUGAUCGGCCACAUUGGAACUGAGACACGGUCCAA
rnacentral:rRNA from 1 species